UCCCCAACUCAGAUACCUGUCCUGUGAAGCCGCACCUUGAAUAGCUGCUGAUUUGAGCUUUUAGAGCGUCGUCCUCUUUAUGGGCGGAGACUUCCUGAGUUUCGUCUUCAGUUCACUCCGGUGUGUUGUUGUGAGCAUAGACAGUAAAAGAAAA